rnacentral:sRNA from 1 species
CUCAGAGACACCCAGAAGAAGAUGACUCAGACCGGAGACGAUUUGGACAAGGCUCAGGUAUGGGUUUAAGCCAGAAUUUAGGCUCUUUGCGUAUAUUUUAUCGAUUUUAAGACCCCAUAUAAACUGGCUUCCUAAAUUUUCGCUUAGAUCUUGGUUUGAUAAGACUUUAAGCUAUCAGAUUUUUACCAGGAAGCUUAAAAAUUCAUGAAAAUCGCAGGAGUUUCUAGAAGUUCCAAAAUAUUGUCUAGCUUCUACUUUGAUACCAUAUAUAAUUAGCGUAUUAUUAAUACCUACUUUCUCAACUUAAAGCCGCUAUCCCGGAAGAUUUUGGCCUGAAACUGAGCAAAGUUCUGAAAAGCAGAAGUUGAGCUCUAAAUUUCCUAAUUUUUUGGAAUCAAGCUUUUACAAUACCUUAUAUAUAGCGAAUUUUGAUUACAGUCCGAUUUCAGAAAACAAAAUUUUUUAGAGACACUGGCGCUCAAGUAACCUAUAAAAUCUUAAAGUAUAACUAAAAAUCACCCUAAAAACAAAAUUCGAAAUUCAUAGUGCAGGGUGCUCAAUUUGUAACUUUUAGCCCUAAAAAUUUAACCUGGAAUCUAAAAUUUACCUAGGACACCACUAGAAAUCAAAUUCGAAGCUCAUGGUGCAUCGUCCACCUAGGUCUACCUGUCUCCCUGGGCUUAUGCUCCUAAGCUGAAACACUUAGGCUUAAGCUAAGCUAAAAGAAUAAGCUCAAAAUCAAACUUCCAUUUUUCAGGAGGACCUCUCCGCCGCCACCUCCAAGCUCGAGGAGAAGGAGAAGACCGUUCAAGAGG